rnacentral:misc_RNA from 1 species
AAAUGUGAUAACUAGUGUGAAUUGCAGAAUUCCGUGAAUCAUCGAGUCUUUGAACGCACAUUGCGCCCCCUGGUAUUCCGGGGGGCAUGCCUGUCCGAGCGUCAUUGCUGCCCAUCAAGCACGGCUUGUGUGUUGGGUCGUCGUCCCCUCUCCGGGGGGGACGGGCCCCAAAGGCAGCGGCGGCACCGCGUCCGAUCCUCGAGCGUAUGGGGCUUUGUCACCCGCUCUGUAGGCCCGGCCGGCGCUUGCCGAACGCAAAUCAAUCUUUUUCCAGGUUGACCUCGGAUCAGGUAGGGAUACCCGCUGAACUUAAGC